AUGGAAGUAAGCUAAAAAGAAUUGACAUUCUUUCUUUUGUACCUCUCCAUCUCUGAUCUCUCUAUAUAAUGAAUGCACCUUCUCCACAUAUUUUGUCUGCAUCACACCCUCCUCCCUCCUCCUCGACAAUAAUCUCUUCUCAGAUCUGUUCGUUUUUAUAUAUAAUUUGUCAAUAUGAACAAGUCUUUGCUUCCCCCGCUUGUUCUGUUUUUGGGUUUCUCUUUUGUUCUCUCCUCCAUUGCUGCAGUUCCUACAUCCAGUAAGGCCUAGCUCUCUCUCUCUCUCUCUCUCUCUCUAUAUAUAUAUAUAUAUAUAUAUAUAUAUAUAUAUAUAUAUAUUUAGGUAUAUGUAUAUGAGAAAUGAUCCACAUGCAGUUACACUUAGCUAUAGCCAACAGUCUUUUGAAUUUUACUCGCUCGCUAUUUGGUGGACAAUUAAUACGUAUAAAAUUCCGUCUGUCAAAAAGUUUGAUGGACUUGAUGGAUAUACUCAACUGUGGCUGUAGACAUAUAUUCAACUCAACCAUAUAUAUGUCUCCUUUUGAGUCUUGGUUUACAUACUGCACUAUAUAAUGAUAUAUAUGUGUGUAUGUAUGUGAAUGGGUUAAUUUUUUAUAUAUCUCAUGUCUUUGAUCAUCAAUAGGAAGCCUCAAAUCGAUCAAGGAGAAUCCUGCACUCCAAGAUUUAAAAGCUCAGGUCCUCUCUCUCUCCCUCUGUUUUAUUGAUUUGGCAUACCUCAUAUCAUAUAUAUAUAUAUAUAUACAUAUAUAUAUAUUGGAUCCAAUCCAAGAUAACAAGUUGUCAGAACACUAUUCAUAACAACCAAGUUGCAUCACCAUGUAGCGACUGCUUCACAUAUGUAAAUGAGUAUUUUAUAUUAAAAAAAAAAGACAACCGCUACACCUAGCAGCGGCUCGAUUUUGUUCAACCGCUACAUCUAGUAGUUUCACUCUUGCACUUGCUUGGUAAAUUUACAUUAUUAAAUUGCUUUGUUUGGUCAUUAUUAAAUUGCUUGGUUAUUAUUAAAUUGUUUUGUUUGGUCAUUAUUAAAUUGCUUGGUCAUUAUUAAAUUAUUAUUAAUAAUGACCUAUCAAUUUAAUAAUGUAAAUUGACCAAGUAAGUGCAAGAGUGAAACUAUUAGGUGUAGCGGUUGUUUUUUUUUUAAUAUAAAUAUCACAAAGUGAAACCCAUUUUACACAUGUGAAGUAGUUGCUACAGGGUGUUACAACUUGAUUGUUAUGAAUAAUGUUCUGACAACCGAUUGACAUGUAUUGAAUCCACAUAUAUAUAU
rnacentral:lncRNA from 1 species